AAUUGCCUUCUGAGGCAGGCGGAUACAGGGGAAAAGAUACAUUGCUCCCUCUGCCUUGUUGCAUGUUACACCCUCCAAACUGUUGAACGCUUGUUCCAAUGUCUGCCAUUAAUUAGUUAACAAAGAAUUACCAAUAGCAUCACAUGAAAAUCACGGAGAGACAAAGGAUUAUCAAUAGCAUCACAUGAAAAUCACGGAGAGAGUCUGCACACUUAACAGUGAUCCAUUUAACUGCAGAAUUCAGUAUGCACACUAAUCCUAUUACUUUCUUUUUGCAUUUCCUUUCCCUAAUACCUUAAAUCAGACAAUAAGUUGACUUCACUGAACUGACCUUU
rnacentral:lncRNA from 1 species